GUAGUUCAGUGACAAUUUGAAAAUGAAAUUGACGCGACUAUGUGGACGUAGACAUCUGUCCGACACUGUACAUGAAAACCUCGACCUUCUCUCUUUCUUUUCAAACUAAAUUUUACCCGCACAUGUUUGUAUACCAAUAUAUUGACAUUGAAAAUUUCAUUUAAUUUUUUUCCUUUUCGUUUCUGAAAUAAAUAUGUAAUCAUGCUCAUGAAAGAUACAUAAAUACGCAGUUGUGCACAUCAGUAAUCGUGCAUAUUUAAGGUUUUUCCAUGCAAGAGAAUAGUCAGCGUCCCAGUCACUUCAACAUAUCCGCAAGUAUUUUUAGGUUCACAAACUAUUGAACUGCACUUAAACAAAGAGAGCGUUGAUAAUGAAGGAUGCUACACACUUACAUAUGUAUCUCAGGUAGAUAUUCAUGGAGACAAAUUAAGAGAUACUAAGUAUUCAAUGUACUUAUGUAUCUGUAUGUCCCUAUACAGUGCAUACAUGUUACGUAGAAUCAUCUCUCUGGAUUCGUGUAAAUAUCGCUUUCGUGAAAGUUCGAGUGUCGAGGCGAGUUAUGUAACUGCUCGUAUGUACAUAAGUACAUAUGCAAUACAAGUGAAACUUUAUGAAAGAGAGAGUGUUGUUGUUAGAGACAUAUUUUAAUUGACAUCGCAUUUCUGUAUGAACUUCCACCUCAUAAAGCAUUGGGAAAUGAAAAUACUGUGAGCAAGGAUACAUAGAUACAUAUGUACACAAGCGUAUUUUCUGCCCGUUUACUAUUUGUACUUUUUCGUUGUUUACGUAUGUAUGCGUAUAUUACUAUACCCACACCAUGAGUGUAGUCGGUUAUAUAUCUUACCCCAGAUUUCUGCAGCUGGGGAACGGGGAAAAAGUUUGUCCCAAAGUAAAAUUAUUUUACAAAUUUUGUACAAUUCGUUGUAAUAAGUGUGGUGUUUGUUGAUUAUAAUAAAAAUGUGUGACACCCUGUGUGGCAUUACUUUGCUAAAUCUUGGUAAAAAUUAAUUGGCACAUUUACGACAAGGGCUGAUUGGCUUGCAAAUCUCUAAUCGGGAUUAAUAUUUGUAAUCCGAUGAUUAUUAAUGCAAGUGGCACCUGUUUGCCACAAGGACUCCGUCGACAGGGAUGCAUAUUUAUAUGUACCAAGCUGUACACAUCAAUAAAUUAAGACCGUGAGUAAUAAUGCAUGGAAAAUAAUGCAUUGAAUGAAGCUGCACCGGAAGAAAUUCGAUUUUCUCCAAAUGUCGUUUUGGCUGUUGCUGCUUAUCUAUGUAUGAAAAGCAUACUUCUAUUCCUUCUGCAUUUUCAACUGGAGACCUGUCUCCUUUCGCUGGACGUCAUGAAACACACCAUUUUUAUGCUAAACUCGUUUUUCCUGGAAUUAGUGAAUAAUGUAAGGUAGCAUAUUUGAAUUCGCAAGAUAUUCCAUAUUUGGGAGUUUGCAUGUAUAAAUUUUUCGAAACUACGUACUAACGCUAUGUUAUCUCCGUUGAUUGCCAAAUUACUCGCUCCUUUACGUAUACAUAUACAAAAUUUUCAAACUUUUACAACUACAAAUAAGUAUUAUCCCACUUGAGCUUUGUUUCGGUGCUUUGUACCGAUCAGCCAAGAUACAUGUUUAUGUAUGUACGUUAAAUGCAUAUAUGUUUAGUACUUUUGGAAAACUAAGCAACCUAAUCCAAAUAUUGCGUGGAAUAUAUAUGUACACACAUAAUUGUUACAACAACUAUGUAUAUACUAACUAUAGUGAAUUACAUACAAAUACACCUAUGCCAGCAGCACAUUUGAGGAUAAGUUACAUAUGUCGGGUGCAGUUCAUAAAAAGUUAUUAAGUAGCGUAACAUACGUAUGAUUGAAAUUUCUAACGCUUUUGCAAAAGUUGCAGUUAAAUAGAACGUGCAUAAUGAAAUGUGGAAAAAUCCUAUCGUGAAAUCGCACCAUGGUUGGUACCAUGGUGCGAUUUCAUUUCCAUAAUCGCUUUAUACAAAUUUUUAAGUCUGCAGGGAACUAUGUUAUGUUUGCAAAUGGCUAAUUAGACCACACCCAAAGGAUGAAGGGGGUGUGCCACGUCAAGGGAAUGCCUAAUUUCACAAUAUGUCAUCUGUAGAUUCGAUUUCAGUAAAAACUUUUUCCCCGACCAUAUCCCCAAACGGUAGGGUGGUCCGAUUGACCCCAAAAGUUGAUUGGAUCCUCCCUCUAGGAUCAUAUGUAUGCUGCCGCACACCAAUCCCAUUAUCUCCAUCCGUUCAAUAUCAUAGCAUUGCAUUUUUAAGUAUGUGGCCAAAAAUAGAACAGCUAAUCGCAGACUUUCUUUGGAUUGGAGGGAUGUGCGAAAUCCAAGUCAUAUCGUGGACUGGUCGUAUACCUCCUUGAAACAAAAGAAGAAGCACAUGGGUUACCAAAGGAUUUCAUAUACCCGUAUAGGGGUAUGUUCUUUGGGACUACGGAUUUUUGCGGUAACAGUGAGGUGUGCUUUUCGAUGUAGGAAAAGACAAACCUCAAAAAGUUUGAGCUAGGGAAAUGCAUAUUAUUAUGAUACCUUCGGACUGAGUUUUUAGUUUUCGGAGAAAAUUAAUUCACCAUUCCAUCCUAACCGGUGGGCUUUUCAGCUUCCUCGACAGUUCGAACAGGCAACCAAUUCGAACUUGUUGCAGUAGCAGUGUGCUGUAUGUUUUUCAUCAUACCUUUCAUAAGUUUACUAUCAUCAAAACGAUAUGCGUCUAUAGAAGCCAUAUUUUCAGUAUCCUUCCCUUUGCCAGUCUGGAUACCUGCACAUCGUUGAAAUGCUUUAGAGGAGAAACUGAGGUCAUCCAUAAUGUCUUCCAUUAACGCCAGAUUGAAGCGAAAUUGAACAUCCUGAGUUACUCUCAGCAAUCCUUCAGCUUCAGCUGGAGUUUUUGGGGAGAGUCUAUUAUCACUGCGCAUUGAUUCCAAAGUAACAACUAACAAUGCAUGCAUUUUACGAACCUUGGCGUACGUUAAGCUCGCGUAAUCAGCCCAGCAUUGCAUAAAUAUAUAUGUUAAGCUGUACACUUUAAGUUUCUUGGCUACCGCUGUGCUGCGGAAGGAUUACACGCGUCAUUGGAUGCGCGCUGUGCGCUGACGAACACUGCUAAAGCCUUAAUAUCGUUCUCAAAUUUUGUUAACUCAGGAAUAUCAUUCAUUAUAUGGUUUCCAACCAGUGAUAAGCGAUUAGUUAGACAAUGGAUUCUGAAUAGCUUGCUUUCGCGCAUGAUAUCCACCACUUCGAUGUUGGUUAUAUCGAUAAUUUUCUGGCCCUGUAAUUGCCAGAUUAUUGCCAGUAAUUACUUUUCAAAGUCUGGAAUGCAUAUUUAUACCUGUUAUUUGUCACCUUAUGACCAUUACCUGGAUCAGCUUCUAACGCUUGUCCUCGUGUACUUCAAAAUCUUGUCUCUGGUAGAGGUCUUGGUGGAGUUUGUUAUCUGGAGUGUUUCUUUUCGUACAUAGGCUAACUGGUCUUGAUUAAACCCUUCUUUUUGUAUUGAGUCAAAAUAUAAUAAUUGAUCUCGUGAAAAAUAAUACAGUUGUUCAAGGCGGAUAGAACUAUGGGAAAAAGGCCUUCAAUUUGCGAAGGUUCCAAUGCUUGUAUUUGUUCUAUGUUUAGAAUUUGCAGCUGUUGAGGUCUUAAAGCUUUAAUCUGCAGAACGCCUAGGCUACCUAUUUGAAUCGUAGUUAACUUUGCUAUUGUCUGCGACAGCAAAAAGCUGUAUUCCGACUGAAUCGACCACGAGGUCAAUCAUUGGUAUUGCCACAUCCGUUGACUCGUGACGUGUAAGAUGAUGUGCAUCGGAGUAAUUGUCAGUUUGAAUAUCUUUGCACAACCAACGGCCAUAUGUUGCCAGGAUUCCAAAUAUGAUAGUCCAUAAAGUCUUAUCAAAUAUGUCAUAAAUUUAACAAUCUUGCAUUGUUCAACACUUCAAUUCUUAUGUAAUUCCUGUAAUUACUGAAUUUAGUUUCUACUGCAUGAAUUUGUGGUUCGUGCUAAAAUAUACACUACGUAAGAUCUAAAUUAUGUAAGAUAAAGAGCUUGGGAGUAAUACUGGAGUAAUGGAAUUACUUAACUGCUAACUUAUUCGCUGAAUUUCGAACUACUGUAGCUAAGGCAUGGGUGUUAGUUGACUUUCCAAUCCACACUCCAGCGGACUGUUGUAGCAUUAGAGAAUAAAAUGCAAAAUUGCACAUUAAGUCCUCCAUGAACGAUAGGAGAAAGAGAAAAUCUGGAUCCUCAAUAACUUUUAGAUGUCCCACCGGUUGAGUCUAGACCUCGGCUGAGAAUCUGGGAUCCAACUUCAUAGAUUGGAGAGUAAUUGUCAAUAGUAAAUAGUAGCACCUUCUUUACUUUAGUGUAAGUUGACCUGGUGAAUGAGUUAAACAUUCGAUGACGAUGAAGAAAUUUUUCUUAGUCAUUGCACAAAGUUUGAAGCAAAUUCGGUCGUUAGUGAUUUAUCCUGCACAUUGUAGUUUAGCUCCAAAAUCCCCUGAUCCUCCUCGCCCAACCGAGCUGGUUUAUUUUCCUUAUCAUAUGACCAAACUGUGUUAACAGCUUUUGUUAUGUCGUGCGAUAUGCAAAUAUCAGGAUCUGGGUCGUCCAGUCGUUAAGAAUUUCGGUUGCAUUUGUGAAUUCCGACAUGUAUAUGAUAAAGGUGAAUCACAGUCAUUUGGUUCAUUAGGGUGCGGUAAAUUUUAGACGCUAAAUAUUUUGGGGUUAAAAAAAAUCAAACCUCAACGAUCGGCUAACAUUGCGUGGUCUGGUCGUCAGAUAGUGAUGUAUGCAUUGCAUUUUCCUCACGCAAAACGAGAUACUUGUAAUAUCUUGUUUUCCUGUAGUUGUGAAUCGCCCUAAUCUCUUCUCUAAUAACACAUUUGACUCAUUUACAUUUUAUUUACAUUUAAUUACUUGAAUUUACAAUUGAUUUGUCUAACUAUAGCGUACGUAUUAACACAUUAACAUUUAUUACAAUAUGAACAUAAUUAAGUCAUUAAAAUAGUACUAUGACAAACUUGUUAAAAUCCUAAUAUAGGCGCUACAAAACUUUUCCACAACUGCUUCCCAAUUUGUUAAAGUGUUAGUUAAGUACAGACAUAAUUGUAUAUGAUGUCUGUUUAACUAAUAAAUUCAGUUGUAAUGAUGAAUGCACUUUACACACAUGAAUAAAUGUAUUACACAUUUGUCGCUUUGCAGUUUAUCAACAUAGAUAUAUGUAGCAAUAUGCAAUGUCAGCCAAGUUAUUCAAUAUUGGCCCUACUCAUAAGUAACUAAAUAAGUAUAUAGAAAGAAAAUGUACUAAUCUCUAUUUAAAACCGUAUUACACUGAUUUAAACCAACAAGCGUCUAAGUUAAGCUAGAUAUUCCCGACUUUUCCGUUGACUCGCAAAUGAACAAAAGGAUGAAUAUCAACCAGAAUGUGUAAUAAUUACGUUGAGCAUUUUAAUAAAUUCGAUUCAAUUAAAAGCUUAAAAUA